rnacentral:rRNA from 1 species
CUACGGGACGCAGCAGUGGGGAAUAUUGCACAAUGGGCGAAAGCCUGAUGCAGCAACGCCGCGUGAGGGACGACGGCCUUCGGGUUGUAAACCUCUUUUAGCAGGGAAGAAGCGAAAGUGACGGUACCUGCAGAAAAAGCACCGGCUAACUACGUGCCAGCAGCCGCGGUAAUACGUAGGGUGCAAGCGUUGUCCGGAAUUAUUGGGCGUAAAGAGCUCGUAGGCGGUUUGUCGCGUCUGCUGUGAAAAUCCGAGGCGCAACCUCGGACCUGCAGUGGGUACGGGCAAACUAGAGUGCGGUAGGGGAGAUUGGAAUUCCUGGUGUAGCGGUGGAAUGCGCAGAUAUCAGGAGGAACACCAAUGGCGAAGGCAGAUCUCUGGGCCGUAACUGACGCUGAGGAGCGAAAGCGUGGGGAGCGAACAGGAUUAGAUACCCGUGUAGUC